CACCUGCAGAGAGGGCCGGCCAUCGCACAGGAACCACAGCCAGGUCGGAAACUUGAGGAAGGCCCGCAAAUUCUUGGCUUGGCCCGGUGGGACCAGCCCCACCGCUGGAAGCUUGA
rnacentral:ribozyme from 14 species